rnacentral:rRNA from 1 species
UACGUAGGCAGCGAGCGUUGUUCGGAGUUACUGGGCGUAAAGGGUGUGUAGGCGGUCGUUUAAGUUUGGUGUGAAAUCUCCCGGCUCAACCGGGAGGGUGCGCCGAAUACUGAAUGACUUGGAGUGCGGGAGAGGUGAGUGGAAUUCCUGGUGUAGCGGUGAAAUGCGUAGAUAUCAGGAGGAACACCGAUGGCGAAGGCAGGUCACUGGGCAGUAACUGACGCUGAGGAGCGAAAGCGUGGGGAGCGAACAGG